rnacentral:piRNA from 1 species
UAGUAACAUUUGUAGUGCAGGUGCCAGGG